GCCCUUUCAGGGCUGCACCUGGAGAGUUCCUAGUACUCUACUAGUCUCGACUACGGGAGGGAGAGUCAAGCAGGGGCCUGCCCAUUCCAUUCCUAGCUUGGGCAGUGGCUGGCGAGUGGAAGACAAUCCGCCACAAGU